UACGGGGGGGCAAGCGUUGUUCGGAAUUACUGGGCGUAAAGGGCUCGUAGGCGGCCAACUAAGUCAGACGUGAAAUCCCCAGGCUCAACCUGGGAACUGCGUCUGAUACUGGAUGGCUUGAAUCCGGGAGAGGGAUGCAGAAUUCCAGGUGUAGCGGUGAAAUGCGUAGAUAUCUGGAGGAAUACCGGUGGCGAAGGCGGCAUCCUGGACCGGCAUUGACGCUGAGGCGCGAAAGCCAGGGGAGCAAAGCGGGG
rnacentral:rRNA from 1 species